GAACGCGAAGAACCUUACCCGGGCUUGAACUAAGAGUGACAGAUUUAGAGAUAGAUUUUUCUUCGGACACUCUUGGAGGUGCUGCAUGGUUGUCGUCAGCUCGUGCCGUGAGGUGUCGGCUUAAGUGCCAUAACGAGCGCAACCCUUUUCCUUGGUUGCCAUCAGGUAAUGCUGGGCACUCCAGGGAUACUGCCAUCGUAAGAUGUGAGGAAGGUGGGGAUGACGUCAAAUCAGCACGGCCCUUACGUCCGGGGCUACACACGUGUUACAAUGGGGGGUACAGAAGGUCGCUACCUGGUGACAGGAUGCUAAUCUCCAAAACCUCUCUCAGUUCGGAUUGGAGUCUGCAACCCGACUCCAUGAAGCUGGAUUCGCUAGUAAUCGCGCAUCAGCCAUGGCCGCGGUGAAUACGUUCCCGGGUCUUGUACACACC
rnacentral:rRNA from 1 species